rnacentral:rRNA from 1 species
UACGUAGGUGGCAAGCGUUGUCCGGAUUUAUUGGGUUUAAAGGGUGCGUAGGCGGUCUUUUAAGUCAGUGCUGAAAUACUCCAGCUUAACUGGAGGGGUGGCAUUGAUACUGGAAGACUUGAGUAUAGUCGAGGUAGGCGGAAUUGACGGUGUAGCGGUGAAAUGCUUAGAUAUCGUCAAGAACACCGAUAGUGAAGACAGCUUACUAGGCUAUAACUGACGCUGAGGCACGAAAGUGUGGGGAUCAAACAGGAUUAGAAACCCCCGUAGUCC